UUUUCAGAAGCCCGGGGUCUUUUGGAGUGUAAUUUUUUCAUAGUUAGAUGCCUGACUGACAACUGUAUAAAACAAAACCUACACACAAUAUUCGAAGCACAUAGUGCACACUGUGGGAAUUUACGACUGUGCGUAAAUCCCCCCUAAUAUUGGUAUGAUCCGAGCUCAGACACUAAGCGACUGAGCGAGGGGGCGGGGGGAGCUGCUGCCUCGAGUGCGCUGUUGGAGAAACGCAGCCAGGCAGACAGAGGAGAGCUGAAGUUCUGCAGUUGUUACUCUCCACGGCUAAAUAAAUCGGUUUCAGUAAUGUACUGAUAUACAAGAAUGGACAGAAUGAGCUUCUUUCAAAGAAAAAACUCAGGUUUUAUGUGAAUCCCGGUGCCUCAGGGGGACAGCAUCCACAGCAACAGCACUCAGCCCACAGCUAACAGCACGGCUCACAUUAAGACACCAGACCUUAUCACUUUAACUGAGGACGAGCCGAGGGAGACCCCUGAAAAGUCGGACAGUCGGAUCCCUGCGUCUCCUGGAGCACCAGGCAGCAUGCACUGCUGGAUGCUGAAGGCCCCAGAUUCCCAGCUCUGCAUGGAGGCUGUGCGAACACAGGUCACUGAUGGUCUUGGUCACUCGGGCCUGUGAAUCCAGUUUCUGAAGAACUCCAUCAUCAUUGUCUGGAGGAAUAUCGCAGCAGGGUUCUCUCUGUCACAGUAAAGGAUCACAGCCAGUCCGCGAGUCUCGUCGUAGAUGAGGUGGUAACGAAACGACUAACCGACACGCAGGAUAUAGAGCGGAGUUGCAUCUCCACCGCGUCCAUC
ensembl:lncRNA